GACGAACGCUGGCGGCGUGCCUAAUACAUGCAAGUUGAGCGCUGAAGGUUGGUACUUGUACCGACUGGAUGAGCAGCGAACGGGUGAGUAACGCGUGGGGAAUCUGCCUUUGAGCGGGGGACAACAUUUGGAAACGAAUGCUAAUACCGCAUAAAAACUUUAAACACAAGUUUUAAGUUUGAAAGAUGCAAUUGCAUCACUCAAAGAUGAUCCCGCGUUGUAUUAGCUAGUUGGUGAGGUAAAGGCUCACCAAGGCGAUGAUACAUAGCCGACCUGAGAGGGUGAUCGGCCACAUUGGGACUGAGACCCGGCCCAAACUCCUACGGGAGGCAGCAGGAGGGAAUCUUCGGAAAUGGACGAAAGUCUGACCGAGCAACGCCGCGGGAGUGAAGAAGGUUUUCGGAUCGUAAAACUCUGUUGGUAGAGAAGAACGUUGGUGAGAGUGGAAAGCUCAUCAAGUGACGGUAACUACCCAGAAAGGGACGGCUAACUACGUG
rnacentral:rRNA from 1 species